rnacentral:tRNA from 1 species
GAAUAGGUGGCGUAGUUUAGCGUAUAUGGUUUCGGGUCGUAAGGUACAGUUUUAGUUCUAUUUU